rnacentral:rRNA from 1 species
GUCUAUGGCCAUACUACCCUGAACACGCCCGAUCCCAUCUGAUCUCGGAAGCUAAGCAGGGUCGGGCCUGGUUACUACUUGGAUGGGAGAGCACCUAUGAAGACCAGGUGCUGUAGGCG